rnacentral:rRNA from 1 species
UCAGAACGAACGCUGGCGGCAGGUCUUAGGCAUGCAAGUCGAACGGGUGUAGCAAUACAUCAGUGGCGCACGAGUGAGUAACGCGUGGGAAGCUACCCAUCACUGGAGAAUAACGUUUGGAAACGAACGCUAAUACCGCAUACGCCCGAAAGGGGAAAGAUUUAUCGGUGAUGGAUGUGCCCGCGUUGGAUUAGCUUGUUGGUGGGGUAACGGCCUACCAAGGCGAUGACCCAUAGCUGGUCUGAGAGGACGAUCAGCCACGCUGGGACUGAGACACGGCCCAGACUCCUACGGGAGGCAGCAGCUAAGAAUAUUGGACAAUGGGGGAAACCCUGAUCCAAGCCAUGCCGCGUGAAUGAAGAAGGCCUUCGGGUUGUAAAGUUCUUUUAGUAGUGAAGAUGAUGACAGUAGCUACAGAAAAAGCACCGGCUAACUUCGUGCCAGCCGCCGC